rnacentral:tRNA from 1 species
AAUUUAUAUAGUUUAAUUAAAAACAUUACAUUUUCACUGUAAAAUUAGAGCUUACUCUUAUAAAUACU